rnacentral:rRNA from 1 species
CAGUCGCCGCGGUAAAACGAAGGGGGCUAGCGUUGUUCGGAUUUACUGGGCGUAAAGGGCGCGUAGGCGGACUGAUAAGUCAGGGGUGAAAUCCCAAGGCUCAACCUUGGAACUGCCUUUGAUACUGUUUGUCUUGAGUUCGAGAGAGGUAAGUGGAACUGCGAGUGUAGAGGUGAAAUUCGUAGAUAUUCGCAAGAACACCAGUGGCGAAGGCGGCUUACUGGCUCGAAACUGACGCUGAGGCGCGAAAGCGUGGGGAGCAAACAGGAUUAGAUACCCCCGUAGUCCCUGUCUCUUAUAC